CGACCCAAGAGAGUCGGGAUAACACUGGAAACAGAUGCUAAUACCGGAUAACAACAGAUGAUGCCUAUCAACUGUUUAAAAGAUGGUUCUGCNUAUCACUCUUGGAUGGACCUGCGGUGCAUUAGCUAGUUGGUAGGGUAACGGCCUACCAAGGCGAUGAUGCAUAGCCGAGUUGAGAGACUGAUCGGCCACAUUGGGACUGAGACACGGCCCAAACUCCUACGGGAGGCAGCAGGU
rnacentral:rRNA from 1 species